GAGGUAGUGACAAUAAAUAACAAUGCAGAGCCAUAUUGGUUCUGCAAUUGGAAUGAGUACAAUCUUAAACUCCCUUAACGAGGAACAAUUGGAGGGCAAGUCUGGUGCCAGCAGCCGCGGUAAUUCCAGCUCCAAUAGCGUAUAUUAAAGUUGUUGCAGUUAAAAAGCUCGUAGUUGAAUUUCGGAGUCAGCACUCUGGUCUMCCUUUUGGURGUACUGGCACUGUUGGAUCUUACCUUCUGGAGAACCAAGGUGCUCUUCACUGAGUGCUUUGGGGAACCAGGACCUUUACCUUGAAAAAAUUAGAGUGUUUAAGGCAGGCUUAUGCUUGAAUACAUUAGCAUGGAAUAAUAGAAUAGGACUUUGGUUCUAUUUUGUUGGUUUCUAGGACCAGAGUAAUGAUUAAUAGGGAUAGUUGGGGGCAUUAGUAUUGAGCAGUCAGAGGUGAAAUUCUUGGAUUUGCUCAAGGCUAACAACUGCGAAAGCAUUUGCCAAGGAUGUUUUCAUUAAUCAAGAACGAAAGUUAGGGGAUCGAAGACGAUUAGAUACCGUCGUAGUCUUAACCAUAAACGAUGCCGRCUAGGGAUCGGUGAGAUUCGUUUCGAGC
rnacentral:rRNA from 1 species